rnacentral:rRNA from 1 species
GACGAACGCUGGCGGCGUGCUUAACACAUGCAAGUCGAACGGAAAGGCCCUGCUUUUGUGGGGUGCUCGAGUGGCGAACGGGUUAGUAACACGUGAGUAACCUGCCCUUGACUUUGGGAUAACUUCAGGAAACUGGGUCUAAUACCGGAUAGGAGCUCCUGCUGCAUGGUGGGGGUUGGAAAGUUUCGGCGGUUGGGGAUGGACUCGCGGCUUAUCAGCUUGUUGGUGGGGUAGUGGCUUACCAAUGCUUUGACGGGUAGCCGGCCUGAGAGGGUGACCGGCCACAUUGCAGCUGUGAUACGGCCCAGACUCCUACGGGAGGCAGCAGUGGGAGAUAUUGCACAAUGGGCGGAAGCCUGAUGCAGCAACGCCGCGUGCGGGAUGACGGCCUUCGGGUUGUAAACCGCUUUCGCCUGUGACGAAGCGUGAGUGACGGUAAUGGGUAAAGAAGCACCGGCUAACUACGUG